rnacentral:rRNA from 1 species
GACGAACGCUGGCGGCGUGCUUAACACAUGCAAGUCGAACGGAAAGCCCCUUUCGGGGGGACUCGAGUGGCGAACGGGUGAGUAACACGUGGGUGAUCUGCCCUGCACUUUGGGAUAAGCCUGGGAAACUGGGUCUAAUACCGGAUAGGACUACGCACUGCAUGGUGUGUGGUGGAAAGCUUUUGCGGUGUGGGAUGGGCCCGCGGCCUAUCAGCUUGUUGGUGGGGUGAUGGCCUACCAAGGCGACGACGGGUAGCCGGCCUGAGAGGGUGUCCGGCCACACUGGGACUGAGAUACGGCCCAGACUCCUACGGGAGGCAGCAGUGGGGAAUAUUGCACGAUGGGCGCAAGCCUGAUGCAGCGACGCCGCGUGAGGGAUGUCGGCCUUCGGGUUGUAAACCUCUUUCAGCAUCGACGAAGCGCAAGUGACGGUAGAUGCAGAAGAAGCACCGGCCAACUACGUGCCAGCCGCCGCGGUAACAC